rnacentral:tRNA from 1 species
GCCGGGGUGGUGGAAUGGCAGACACACCAGGCUCAGAACCUGGCGCGCCCUUGUGCGCAUGGGGGUUCAAGUCCCCCUCCCGGCA